ACCACCACGGAGGCACAGGCGUUGGCUGUGGGCACUCUGCGUCCGGGGCAGGCGGCUGCCCUCCCAGGAGCUCUUCUCUGGCCCAGCGGCUGGUCUCCAGGAGCCGAGCAGAGUGCGGGAGCCCUUCCAUGGCCCAGGUCUGGGCUGCUGCUCCCGCUGAGUGGCUUUCCUAAGGGAACUGAGAGCUGGGGGGGUGGGGAGCCUGCGGCGUCCCCUCCUGUGGUCCUGGGAUGCUGGACUCCUCGGUGGCAGAUCAAAUGGCCCGACUGGCUCUGAAACUCCUAGAGAAGAAACUGGAGCAAGAGCGUGAGGAUGUGGAAGGGGAUUCUGAGGCCCCAUCUCAGGCCAGGAAACGGGGACGAGCCGGAGUCAGCCCUGCGGAGAGCUCGGAAGAGGAGGGAGGAUCUUCUGCAGAGAUUCUGGGUAGGCUCUGCUCUGGUGUUGCAUGAACAACACCUCCUGGAAGAGGUCGCCCAGGCCUGUGCCCGGAGGGGGUUGAACAGAGGAGCCCGUGGGUCAGCGCUGCCCCCAGAGGUGCCCUCCAUGGGCGUCUACCCCGCUGCCUCCUUGCCCCCGUCAGCCCUGGAGCUGCCUCGCAUCAUCCAGCCCUCGGCCCCCCCACCGCCUGCGGCCAUCAUCCAGCAGCUCCCUCAGCAGCCUCUCAUCGCCCAGCUCCCCCCUCCCCAGGCCUUCCCCACCCAAAGGGCAGGAAGCAUUAAGGAAGAUGUGGUAGAGCUGAUGCUCAUGCAGAACGCGCAGAUGCACCAGGUCCUCGUGCAGAGCCUGAUGCUCCGAGCCCUGCCCCCGCCGCCCCGCGCCCCCGCCGCCCCGCGCCUCGCCCCACAGGACCCGCCGUGGGCUCACACCGCCUUCCUUCAAGCGGAGAGGCAGAAGCCAUCGUCCGUGCACCACCACCACCACUACGCAGCCCCAGCCCUGCUGCAGGCGGUCCCUGCACCCGGCUCUCCACUGGAUUACCCCACAUGGCCCUCGGUGGUCUCUGCCACCACCCUCCCACCAGCUGCCGGCUUCCUGCCCACCGUGAGGCACGUGGCUGGCCCCGCAGCAGCCACCCUUAGCACUCACCAGAAUGCCCAUCAGAGGAAGUGCGAUGACCUUGGAGUUGCCUUUUGGCUGCACACAGACUCCCUCCAGGCUGCUCGGGCCCUGGGCGAGCUGCCCAGUGAGGCAGUGCAGGAGGCCUGGGCGCAGUGUGUCCCCAAUACCCACGUGUCUGGUUAA